AUUUUAAUGACUUCAUGUGUGUACAUCAUGUCCUGAUAUUUUAUAUGUUUGGGGUCAGGUAAAUUGAAUUGUAAUUUCGAGAUUUUAAUUAUGACGUUAUGUAUUUAAUUUUAGAUCAAAUUGAUGUGUUACCCAAAAUUUUAAUGUGUCUUGUUCAAUAUUUGUUGAUGUAUUUGUUCACCAAGAAAUGGAGGGGGUCCACCAUUUUGUUAACGACGUGUUUAGUGCACACAAUUUGGUCCCACUGAGGAAGGACAGCAAACUGCGUUCGAAAUAUUUGGAUUCCUAAAUAAAAAACUAAACGAAGUCUGACUUUUGAGCCUACUCACCCUACAAACCUUCACUUCAACACCACUCAAGGCCGAAAGGGAAAAAACUGCUGUAGAACCUUCAUCUACAUGGCCCAGCUAUAAAGUUAAAAUACUUUCACGUUGUGGCAUUGCAGAUAAUUUUACGCAAGCGGAUAGACGUGCUGCACGUGGUACAAGUGGUGAUAAUGUCUCAUCACAUGGUGAAGAAAUUGGAAAUACCUCGGGAAAUACUCAAGUUCGUAAACCUCCACUACCUUAUGCCUCUGAAGCUGAAACUAAUUUCGAGAGCUACCAAAGUCCCACAUAGCACAAAACAUCUAAGCGGUAUUCAACCAUUUCCCAAAAUCAAAACAACUGCACGAAACUUUAGUCAGCAUUCACCAUCUGUUUCUACUUCAUCCUGCUCUACACCGUCUCGUUCCAUGCUGUCGUCUCGGUCCGUACUAUUAAGAAGUACCACAACACCUGGAAUAGAAACAUCCCAUACUGAAAUGUCACGCACACGUGUAAAUGUUUGUGAUGAGACUUUAACCCAACAGAAAGUGUGUUCAUUGACGGAUGAUAAAUUUAAAGCGAAAGUAUUGUCUGAGUUGGCAUCUAUUAAGUUGAAACUAUCAAAAGUGCAACAGUUUAUUGAAAGGCAGAAACAUAUGCCAAAGGAUAACAAGGAAACUAUAGAAACAGACUUUGAUGCGAAAGAUUUUCCUUUAUCAAGUCAUAAUGAUAUCUUAAAAAUGGAGGAAAAAGUAGAAAAGCAGGAGCAUAAGAAUGAUCUAAUUGAUUACCUGGGCAGGAUUGGCGGUUAUAGAUUAGAUGAAGUAACUAAACUUAUUUUACGACGUCUAUUUACUGACGAACUUGCAUCGACAUAUAGUUGGUUAGGUGCCAAAAAAAAAAGAAGGCCAUGUCAAACUUAAACCUAGCGACUGUUAUUUUAAGUCUGUAAACUUAAAGUAUAACUUUUAGAUCAUUUAUCUUUUAGGUUCUGUUCGAAAAAACAAUGUUGCCAUAAAUGCUACUGAUAAAGACAUCAUUGAAUGUAUAAAGAAUUGGCUGCGCCAUGCGGGUACUAGGAACAACAAUAAUAAGCAGAAGAAACAAGUGGAAUAGUUGCUGGAG